GACGAACGCUGGCGGCGUGCUUAACACAUGCAAGUCGAACGGAAAGGCCCUGCUUUUGUGGGGUGCUCGAGUGGCGAACGGGUGAGUAACACGUGAGUAACCUGCCCUUGACUUUGGGAUAACUUCAGGAAACUGGGGCUAAUACCGGAUAGGAGCUCCUGCUGCAUGGUGGGGGUUGGAAAGUUUCGGCGGUUGGGGAUGGACUCGCGGCUUAUCAGCUUGUUGGUGGGGUAGUGGCUUACCAAGGCUUUGACGGGUAGCCGGCCUGAGAGGGUGACCGGCCACAUUGGGACUGAGAUACGGCCCAGACUCCUACGGGAGGCAGCAGUGGGGAAUAUUGCACGAUGGGCGGAAGCCUGAUGCAGCAACGCCGCGUGCGGGAUGACGGCCUUCGGGUUGUAAACCGCUUUCGCCUGUGACGAAGCGUGAGUGACGGUAAUGGGUAAAGAAGCACCGGCUAACUACGUGC
rnacentral:rRNA from 1 species